rnacentral:rRNA from 1 species
GACGAACGCUGGCGGCGUGCUUAACACAUGCAAGUCGAACGGAAAGGCCCUGCUUUUGUGGGGUGCUCGAGUGGCGAACGGGUGAGUAACACGUGAGUAACCUGCCCUUGACUUUGGGAUAACUUCAGGAAACUGGGGCUAAUACCGGAUAGGAGCUCCUGCUGCAUGGUGGGGGUUGGAAAGUUUCGGCGGUUGGGGAUGGACUCGCGGCUUAUCAGCUUGUUGGUGGGGUAGUGGCUUACCAAGGCUUUGACGGGUAGCCGGCCUGAGAGGGUGACCGGCCACAUUGGGACUGAGAUACGGCCCAGACGCCUACGGGAGGCAGCAGUGGGGAAUAUGGCACAAUGGGCGGAAGCAUGAUGCAGCAACGCCGAGUGCGGGAUGACGGCCUUCGGGUUGUAAACCGCUUUCGCCUGUGACGAAGCGUGAGUGACGGUAAUGGGUAAAGAAGCACCGGAUAACUACGU